rnacentral:rRNA from 1 species
UACGAAGGGUGCUAGCGUUGUUCGGAAUCACUGGGCGUAAAGCGCGCGUAGGCGGUUAAUCAAGUCAGGGGUGAAAUCCUGAGGCUCAACCUCAGAAUUGCCUUUGAAACUGUUUAACUGGAGUGUCGGAGGGGAUAGCGGAAUUGCUAAUGUAGCAGUGAAAUGCGUAGAUAUUAGCAGGAACACCGGUGGCGAAGGCGGCUAUCUGGACGACAACUGACGCUGAGGCGCGAAAGCGUGGGGAUCAAACAGG